AGACAGAAUUUGGGGAGCUUGUAUUACAGGCUGAGAGGAAGAUGUGAGCUUCGACCCACGAACCUGAUACGGAUAAUGCCGAUGUAGGAAAAUUUUAAGACAUAUCG
rnacentral:ncRNA from 2 species